rnacentral:rRNA from 1 species
AUUGAACGAUGGCGGCAGGCCUAACACAUGCAAGUCGAACGAGUGGCGGACGGGUGAGUAAUGUCUGGGAAACUGCCUGACGGAGGGGGAUAACUACUGGAAACGGUAGCUAAUACCGCAUACCAUCAGAUGUGCCCAGAUGGGAUUAGCUUGUUGGUGGGGUAACGGCUCACCAAGGCGAUGAUCCCUAGCUGGUCUGAGAGGAUGACCAGCCACACGGGAACUGAGACACGGUCCAGACUCCUACGGGACGCAGCAGGGGGUAAUAUAGCGCAAUGGGCGCAAGCCCGAUCCAGCGAUCCCGCGUGUAUGAAGAAUGCCUUCGCGUUGUUGAGUACUCCCCGCGGUGAUGCGUUUCCCGCAGAAGAUGCCCCGGCUAACGCCUGGCCAGCAGCCGCGGUAAUUC